CUUUCCUUUUAUCUCCAACUCAGCUCAGUUGGAAAUCCCAAUGGGAAGAUGGUUGAAAGGAGGUUGUAGUAACAUGGGGGUCAGCCUUUCCUCCUAGGUAACAGCAAUAGGGAAUGGCUCAAGUUGCAGCAGGCGAGGUUUGGAUUGGAUAUUAAGAAAAAUUUCUUCACAGGAUGAGUGGUGCUGCAGUGGCACAGGCUGCCCAGGGAGGUGGUGGAGUCACCGUCCCUGGACGUGUUCCAGAGCCGUGUGGAUGUGGCACUGAGGGCAUGGCCAGUGGGCACGGUGGGGAUGGGCUGAUGGUUGGACUCGAUGAUCUUAAAUGUUUUUCCUAUGUUAAUGGUUUUAUGAUUCUACAAGGCAGUAAGUAUUCACCAAUCAGAAGGCAGGAGCUCUCCAGUCCUGGUAGCUUCAGAAAAAUAGGAGUGAGCAGAGAAACAGCUCUUGGUAACUUGCCAUUGCAAAGUGAUGACAUCCCUCCUUCCACUCCCCCUCCCCACCCCUGGGUAUUUUUUUUUUUCCUCCCUCUGCUCAACACAAUCAUGAAUAUUAUUUCUCACCUUAUCUUCAAAAUCACCAAUUCUUAUCUGUGCUAAGAGGAAGGGGAUAAAAGCCAUAUUCAGCCUCAGGAAUACUCUCCCACCCGUCUGCUGUUUCAGUAUGAGUUGAAAAAGGAAGGAUGGGACAGAAUGCAAGAGCUUCAGGGAGGUUUUACCAAGACACACAGGAAAUUCUGUACAGGGUGAGAGUUUACUACAACAAGCUGUCUCCUUUACCUCGUAGUACAGAAAUACUCUUGAGUUUAUCAUGGAAGAUCCUUAUAUUCAUAAUCACUCACAUCCCAUAACCCUCUUUUGCAGGUCUGCAGUCAUUCAAGAUAACUGGUUGUACAAGUCUGAAUGGGAAUAUUGCAAGUAAUUCUGAGGAAUCAGGAAAGAUGGGAAAAGAAAGAGGCCAGAGGCCUGGCAAUACCACACGAAUGCAAACCGUCAGCUGCACCAAACCCUUUUCACUCCUGGAGUCAAAAACAAUGCCCCAUUCUCUUACCUUCCUUUGGUCACAAAGUGGGACAAAGUACCUGCAUUUACCUACGUUUUUCAUGCUGGGGUUGGACUAGCAAAGACAGCUUCUUCAGAAGCCCAUCCAUCAGCUGCCUUCGGUUAGAAAGGAGCCUGAAGCUGAGAAAGAUUCCUUCUAACUGGGGAACAAGAUGACAGGGAAAUGGAGAAGAUGACAAUCUAUCUGAAUAAGAGUGGAGUGGGGAGGCGGAGGAACCAAUAGCCCCCAGAAUCUCACUAAUGAAACGCUCACUCCCACAUUGGCUGAUUUAAGAGUUCCUUAUGCUAAACUGCUUCACCCUCAGUUUGCCUUGCUAUUUCUUUCUAUUUUCU
rnacentral:lncRNA from 1 species